UUAGCGGCGGACGGGUGAGUAACGCGUGGGAACAUACCCUUUGGUACGGAAUAGCCUCGGCAAACUGGGAGUAAUACCGUAUGUGCCCUUUGGGGGAAAGAUUUAUCGGAGAAGGAUCGGCCCGCGUUAGAUUAGAUAGUUGGUGGGGUAAUGGCCUACCAAGGCAACGACGGGUAGCUGGUCUGAGAGGAUGAUCAGCCACACUGGGACUGAGACACGGCCCAGACUCC
rnacentral:rRNA from 1 species